CCUGAAGUGCCAAGGCCUGAACAGCAGGCCCUGAGCCAAAGGUGGCCUCUGGAUGAACCUUUCAACCAAAGUGUAAAAGCUGUGGCCUCUCACAGUGAGGUUGGAGCCUCACUGGCUGCAAAGGUGGAGGCACCUGCAGGAAUUCCCAGUGUCCAGGAGUGGCUCUCCAGUCUGUGGCUGUGAAAGGGUUAAAAGCACUGUGCCCAGGCAUACUUGGGCAAGAAUAAGAGACAUUGCACUCAGUAUGGAUGCUUGCAAAAAUUCAGCCACAAGCUAAAGACACAGGAUGAAACUUGGCAAGAAAUAGGGAACAAAGCUGGCAGAAAUGAAGGGCAGAGCUUGCUAAAACCAGUGAGGAAAUUGCUGAAACAGCCAACAAGAGACUGCACAUGCCUAGAGGAGAAAGGUGAAAAGGGCACCGUGAUGAUGUCCAGCCUUCAUCAGGAGACCCCCGAGGAAGACGCGGAGCCUUCCUCAGUGCCACCACCAGUGUGCACUGUGCCUGUGCUUCGUGUAUGCUAAUGAUUGUAAUGAGUACUGAGAAAUCGUUUAUAUAACCACACCUUUUCUGAGGAGAAAUAUGAAUAUGCAUAGAGUGUAACUGUAUAUUGUAAUCUGCUGUGUGCCUGUGUGCGCUGUUAGGAGGAGAUAUCCCUGCACACCCAGCAGGCUGAAUAAAGCAAAUCCCCUCCUUGGGCUUUGUUUGGGAAGUGUCUCUUGGCCCGAUUUGGGGCCAUUCACAUCCAUGGGGUUCUGUCAAGUCACAGUGGAACCUUGGUGCCCUGUUGUUGCACAGCCUCACAAUGCUCUCCUGCUGCCAUGAGGUCCCUCCCUCGGUGACACACUGCAGCCCUGGUUCCAUGAGGGGCUCUUGGCUUCCAUGGUGCACGCCUUUUUCACAUCUGAGCCUUGCUUCCAUGGGUUCCAUGGACUGACAGGGGCCCUCUUCAUUCCAUGGGGCCCAGCUAGAUCACAGCAGAGCCUGGCUUUCAUCAGGUUCUGAUACCUGUUCUGCCAGCUGACGGGCUGAUUUAAAGAACACAGAAAUCAAUGGGAAGAAUGGUCUUAUUUUACUGUGAGUGUUAAGGCAACACAAAAGUUAAAUUAUGCAUUCAAUAAAACUACCUGCUUGGCUUUAGCAACAAGCAAAAAGAAGCAAGGUAAUGCACUUAAUCAUUAUUAUAGGAGAGAAAGGAUAGGGAUUGAGAAAGACACAUCACCAAUUGCCUAAAUACUUUACCAUCAUCCAGAGUCUGCAGUUGCUGAAAGGUCCCAUUUCACAGCAAGGACCUGGAGAACUCUUCCAAGAGAUUGGGAAAAUCCCAUGUGGUGCAUCCACCCAUAGGUAACUACACAAGAUUAUGUGGAAGUCUCCACAGCAGCUGGUUUGGUUUUAAACAGCAGCAGAAUCAUAUGGGUCAUCUAUUUUUAGCUCAAUAAAACUGAUGGUGUUAGUUACAAAAUGCCCAAGGUUUGUCCUGUAAGUCAGCUCUGGCUGAGGCUGCCACUCAGGCCUGAGCACAUCAGAAGCUGAAGUGACCAUGACUGGGAAUGGCAAAAACACCCCACUGGGACUGGCCCAGAGGCCCCAGGACUCCUUGGCAUGGAUCACCUCAGGAGACAGCAUUUCAGGGAGCCCAAAGGACUUUUGGAAGAGAUGCUGUGGAGACAGAAGAAUUCCACAGCUGAAUCCCUUACCUGGGCUCCCAGAGGACCCUUCUGCUGUGGGGCUGCUGAGGGUGGAGGAACAGCAGGUACCCAUGGCCACCCCAAAACAGGGCCCCGUUGGCAACACGGCACCGAGCGGGACUGCGGGACCCCAUCCCUGGGAUGAG